UGGGGAGUCCACACUUGGCUGAUGGGUUCCUGGCUAAUGGACCUCCCAGUUGCUUUCACUUUUUAGUCACUGUGAACGACGGGAGGCCUUGCAGUUGUCUGCUCUUCAUCCUUGGGUCAGAGACACUCCUCCUCCUCAUCUGACCUCGACGAUGCUGCAGAUGUGUGGCAGGUGGAGCGGAGCCACGCCGUGGAAGUCAUUCAGCUCCUGAGCCUGCAGAGGUCUCACGGACAGCACCGUCUGCUCCUCCUUGGCCCUCCGCCGGGAACAGCUGAACCCCUGCUUGCUGUUGUUAAGCCGAACUCCAAAGGCAGGAGGGGUCCUGUCUGAAAUUCGGUGAAAUGGAAUUCUGCUGCAUCUGAACGGGGUUGUGAAUGAAAUCUGAAGUCUGGAUUGACGGACCAGGCAGCCUGCACAAUCAAUCUGCUUAGGAAGAUGAAGCUGCAAAGGGACACACAGCUGUGUCCUUCAGUCUCCCCUGUCACGAGCACUGGGCAGUAAAAGCUGA